GGAGAGAAACUGGAAACAGAGGAAGCUGAUGCAGCCGCUUAUAGAAAAACAAGGCAGCGUUUAGUUUAAAAGAGCCCUUUGGUUUCUGUGAGGAUCAAAGCACCUGUGGGAGGAGGAGGGGUCAAGUUUGAGCAGGAACAGAAGAUGAGGCACCAGAUGGCAGAAGCAAGCAAACUACAUCAACAAGACACCUAAGAAGAAAAAGCCACAAUACAGCAUCAAGGAGCAGCAAAUAUCCAGCCCAGCACUGCUUGUGAAUAGGACUUCACUGAGACUUCAGCGUCAUUGAUUUCUAAGCAUCUGGCUGUGGGAGGAGUUAUGACAUCUGUACACCUGCCAGACAUGGCAUUUGUUCUGCCCAGGAGUCUAUGGCAGCAGCUAGGAGAUUUGCAUUUUCCCUAUUUCCAUCAUGAGUAGAAUCACUUACAAAACCCUGACCAACCUCCAAAGCUUUC